rnacentral:lncRNA from 10 species
ACUAACUCCCCAUGCCGCUCUUCCCUUGCCCAGCCCCUCCACAGAACUCUCAUCCUAUGAAAUCAAAACUCUGUGCACAUUAAAUACUAACUCCCCAUGCCGCUCUUCCCUUGCCCAGCCCCUCCACAGAACUCUCAUCCUAUAAAAUCAAAACUCUGUACGCAUUAAAUACUAACUCCCCAUGCCGCUCUUCCCUUGCCCAGCCCCUCCACAGAACUCUCAUCCUAUAAAAUCAAAACUC